CCUACGGGCGGCAGCAGUGAGGAAUAUUGGUCAAUGGACGCAAGCCUGAACCAGCCAUGCCGCGUGCAGGAAGACGGCCCUAUGAGUUGUAAACUGCUUUUGUAAGAGGGUAAACGCAGAUACGCGUACCUGUCUGAAAGUACUGUAUGAAUAAGGAUCGGCUAACUCCGUGCCAGCAGCCGCGGUAAUACGGAGGAUUCAAGCGUUAUCCGGAUUUAUUGGGUUUAAAGGGUGCGUAGGUGGUCGGAUAAGUUAGAGGUGAAAUCCCGAGGCUCAACUUCGGAAUUGCCUCUGAUACUGUUCGGCUAGAGAGUAGUUGCGGUAGGCGGAAUGUAUGGUGUAGCGGUGAAAUGCUUAGAGAUCAUACAGAACACCGAUUGCGAAGGCAGCUUACCAAGCUACUUCUGACGUUGAGGCACGAAAGCGUGGGGAGCAAACAGGAUUAGAUACCCCAGUAGUC
rnacentral:rRNA from 1 species